UUGUGAGGGUGAUUAGUUUGGCUAGU
rnacentral:piRNA from 1 species